rnacentral:rRNA from 5 species
UUAAGCGACUAAGCGUACACGGUGGAUGCCCUGGCAGUCAGAGGCGAUGAAGGACGUGCUAAUCUGCGAUAAGCGUCGGUGAGGUGAUAUGAACCGUUAUAACCGGCGAUUUCCGAAUGGGGAAACCCAGUGUGUUUCGACACACUAUCAUUAACUGAAUCCAUAGGUUAAUGAGGCGAACCGGGGGAACUGAAACAUCUAAGUACCCCGAGGAAAAGAAAUCAACCGAGAUUCCCCCAGUAGCGGCGAGCGAACGGGGAGGAGCCCAGAGCCUGAAUCAGUGUGUGUGUUAGUGGAAGCGUCUGGAAAGGCGCGCGAUACAGGGUGACAGCCCCGUACACAAAAAUGCACAUACUGUGAGCUCGAUGAGUAGGGCGGGACACGUGGUAUCCUGUCUGAAUAUGGGGGGACCAUCCUCCAAGGCUAAAUACUCCUGACUGACCGAUAGUGAACCAGUACCGUGAGGGAAAGGCGAAAAGAACCCCGGCGAGGGGAGUGAAAAAGAACCUGAAACCGUGUACGUACAAGCAGUGGGAGCCUCUUAAUGGGGUGACUGCGUACCUUUUGUAUAAUGGGUCAGCGACUUAUAUUCUGUAGCAAGGUUAACCGAAUAGGGGAGCCGAAGGGAAACCGAGUCUUAACUGGGCGUUAAGUUGCAGGGUAUAGACCCGAAACCCGGUGAUCUAGCCAUGGGCAGGUUGAAGGUUGGGUAACACUAACUGGAGGACCGAACCGACUAAUGUUGAAAAAUUAGCGGAUGACUUGUGGCUGGGGGUGAAAGGCCAAUCAAACCGGGAGAUAGCUGGUUCUCCCCGAAAGCUAUUUAGGUAGCGCCUCGUGAAUUCAUCUCCGGGGGUAGAGCACUGUUUCGGCAAGGGGGUCAUCCCGACUUACCAACCCGAUGCAAACUGCGAAUACCGGAGAAUGUUAUCACGGGAGACACACGGCGGGUGCUAACGUCCGUCGUGAAGAGGGAAACAACCCAGACCGCCAGCUAAGGUCCCAAAGUCAUGGUUAAGUGGGAAACGAUGUGGGAAGGCCCAGACAGCCAGGAUGUUGGCUUAGAAGCAGCCAUCAUUUAAAGAAAGCGUAAUAGCUCACUGGUCGAGUCGGCCUGCGCGGAAGAUGUAACGGGGCUAAACCAUGCACCGAAGCUGCGGCAGCGACACUAUGUGUUGUUGGGUAGGGGAGCGUUCUGUAAGCCUGUGAAGGUGGCCUGUGAGGGUUGCUGGAGGUAUCAGAAGUGCGAAUGCUGACAUAAGUAACGAUAAAGCGGGUGAAAAGCCCGCUCGCCGGAAGACCAAGGGUUCCUGUCCAACGUUAAUCGGGGCAGGGUGAGUCGACCCCUAAGGCGAGGCCGAAAGGCGUAGUCGAUGGGAAACAGGUUAAUAUUCCUGUACUUGGUGUUACUGCGAAGGGGGGACGGAGAAGGCUAUGUUGGCCGGGCGACGGUUGUCCCGGUUUAAGCGUGUAGGCUGGUUUUCCAGGCAAAUCCGGAAAACCAAGGCUGAGGCGUGAUGACGAGGCACUACGGUGCUGAAGCGACAAAUGCCCUGCUUCCAGGAAAAGCCUCUAAGCAUCAGGUAACAUCAAAUCGUACCCCAAACCGACACAGGUGGUCAGGUAGAGAAUACCAAGGCGCUUGAGAGAACUCGGGUGAAGGAACUAGGCAAAAUGGUGCCGUAACUUCGGGAGAAGGCACGCUGAUAUGUAGGUGAAGCGACUUGCUCGUGGAGCUGAAAUCAGUCGAAGAUACCAGCUGGCUGCAACUGUUUAUUAAAAACACAGCACUGUGCAAACACGAAAGUGGACGUAUACGGUGUGACGCCUGCCCGGUGCCGGAAGGUUAAUUGAUGGGGUUAGCGGCAACGCGAAGCUCUUGAUCGAAGCCCCGGUAAACGGCGGCCGUAACUAUAACGGUCCUAAGGUAGCGAAAUUCCUUGUCGGGUAAGUUCCGACCUGCACGAAUGGCGUAAUGAUGGCCAGGCUGUCUCCACCCGAGACUCAGUGAAAUUGAACUCGCUGUGAAGAUGCAGUGUACCCGCGGCAAGACGGAAAGACCCCGUGAACCUUUACUAUAGCUUGACACUGAACAUUGAGCCUUGAUGUGUAGGAUAGGUGGGAGGCUUUGAAGUGUGGACGCCAGUCUGCAUGGAGCCGACCUUGAAAUACCACCCUUUAAUGUUUGAUGUUCUAACGUUGGCCCGUAAUCCGGGUUGCGGACAGUGUCUGGUGGGUAGUUUGACUGGGGCGGUCUCCUCCUAAAGAGUAACGGAGGAGCACGAAGGUUGGCUAAUCCUGGUCGGACAUCAGGAGGUUAGUGCAAUGGCAUAAGCCAGCUUGACUGCGAGCGUGACGGCGCGAGCAGGUGCGAAAGCAGGUCAUAGUGAUCCGGUGGUUCUGAAUGGAAGGGCCAUCGCUCAACGGAUAAAAGGUACUCCGGGGAUAACAGGCUGAUACCGCCCAAGAGUUCAUAUCGACGGCGGUGUUUGGCACCUCGAUGUCGGCUCAUCACAUCCUGGGGCUGAAGUAGGUCCCAAGGGUAUGGCUGUUCGCCAUUUAAAGUGGUACGCGAGCUGGGUUUAGAACGUCGUGAGACAGUUCGGUCCCUAUCUGCCGUGGGCGCUGGAGAACUGAGGGGGGCUGCUCCUAGUACGAGAGGACCGGAGUGGACGCAUCACUGGUGUUCGGGUUGUCAUGCCAAUGGCACUGCCCGGUAGCUAAAUGCGGAAGAGAUAAGUGCUGAAAGCAUCUAAGCACGAAACUUGCCCCGAGAUGAGUUCUCCCUGAGACUUAGAGUCUCCUGAAGGAACGUUGAAGACGACGACGUUGAUAGGCCGGGUGUGUAAGCGCAGCGAUGCGUUGAGCUAACCGGUACUAAUGAACCGUGAGGCUUAACCUU